CCUACGGGUGGCAGCAGUGAGGAAUAUUGGUCAAUGGACGCAAGUCUGAACCAGCCAAGCCGCGUGAAGGAUGAAGGCCCUAUGGUUUGAAAACUUCUUUUAUAAAGGAAUAAAACGAGGCAUGAGUGCCUUAUUGCAUGUACUUUAAGAAUAAGGAUCGGCUAACUCCGCGCCAGCAGCCGCGGUAAUACGGAGGGUCCGAGCGUUACUCGGAUUUAUUGGGUGUAAAGGGAGCGUAGGUGGGUUGUUAAGUCAGUUGUGAAAGUUAGGGGCUCAACCGGAAAAUUGCAAUUGAUACUGGCAGUCUUGAGUACAGUAGAGGUAGGCAGAAUUCGUGGUGUAGCGGUGAAAUGCUUAGAUAUCACGAAGAACCCCGAUUGCGAAGGCAGCUUACU
rnacentral:rRNA from 1 species